AUGAGUGAUAACCCCCUAGUUUUGAAAAUAUAUAUGAGUAGGUCCAAAGAAUUUUUCCUUCCUAGUCAAAAACCCAAAUUCUGAACUUAAUUUGUGAGACCCCCCUGAACAACAUAAAAUACCUGUUUUGCCCUUUUAAUUCAAUUCAAUAAAUAACCUAAUCGCCUAACCCCUCUCUUCCAUUCACACGUCCGCCGUUUACAUCCCUCCUCUCGGUUUCUCUUUAUCUCUCCCUCUCUCUCUAACUCUCUCUCGCCACUGUUCUUAUUUCGAGAGAAAAAUAUUUAUCCAAAUCUCUCGGUUGGUUCAGAUUCAGGUUCCCUUCAAAUUCGAAACCCUAGGUUUCAGAGAAAAAUCGCAAAUGUCAUGGUCAUCGGAAGAACUUCCGUCGCUGCGAGAGAUUUCCAGAUUGUUCCGGUGGCCUGGCGGAGAUGGAGCUGUUGUCUUCUGACCAUCAUUCACCUGAGUGCCUUUCAUGGAAACAGAUGAUCAGCAAAUUGGUCUGCAAAUUGAAAUCUCUGGUGUGGAAUGGCGACAGUGCCAUAAUUAGAUCAGUGCUUGAUGAAAUUACUCAAAAGUAUAGUCGUCCGUAUAAGGUUGCUACUUCAUACAAUAAGGAAUGAUGGGGAAUAGUACACUAUGAAGUUAAAUUUAUUAAGAGUAUAGAACAUUGUAGAUGACUAUAGUCAUAUACAGUAACAUUACUACAUGUUACUGUAGUCGACUAUAGAUAUAUAUAGUAACAUUACUAUAUGUUACUGUAGUCGACUAUAGUCAUAUAUAGUAACAUUACUACAUGUUACUGUAGUCGACUAUAGUCAUAUAUAGUAACAUUACUACAUGUUACUGUAGUCGACUAUAGUCAUAUAUAGUAACAUUACUACAUGCUACUGUACUUGACUAUAGUCAUAUAUAGUAGUAACAUAUAGCAACAUGUAGUCAUGUGUGGGCUAUGUGUUUGAUAAUGGUGAUAUAUUGUCCGACUUUGAUGUCUUCUUGGUGAAAUUACAUUCAGGUAGUGAAAAGACUGGCUCACCGUAGAGUAAUGUACCAUUCUUACUCGGUUCAAGUUCAUGGCUAUAUAUGUUCAUCCACAAAUGAUGACAGUGGUUCAUUUGCUCUAGUACAUGGUUAUCAUGGCAAUUCUUCUUUGAGAAUUGGCUUCAACAAGCAGAUUGGCUACCAACUCUAGAAGCUACUCUCGUGUUGGAUGAGGAGUAUGUCAGGCGAGUCGGUGAUGAUACAGUGGGAGGACCGGCAGUUUCUCGACAAUUACGUCUUAUUCGAAACUUAGAUGUACUUGUUUCAGUGUAGGGGAGAUUUGCGUUAUCAAGUCAUAAAUAGUCACACGUGGUCAUAUACAUAUAGUCAUAUUUAGUCACGUGUAGUCAUAUACAUGUAGUCAUAUAUAGUCACGUGUAGUCAUA